rnacentral:rRNA from 1 species
UACGAAGGGGGCUAGCGUUGCUCGGAAUUACUGGGGCGUAAAGCGCACGUAGGCGGCUUUGUAAGUUAGAGGUGAAAGCCCGGGGCUCAACUCCGGAAUUGCCUUUAAGACUGCAUCGCUAGAAUUGUGGAGAGGUGAGUGGAAUUCCGAGUGUAGAGGUGAAAUUCGUAGAUAUUCGCAAGAACACCAGUGGCGAAGGCGGCUCACUGGCCCGAUACUGACGCUGAGGUGGCGAAAGCGUGGGGAGCAAACAGG